AAAGAAAAAAAAAAAGAUUCUGCUUUCUGUUUUAAAUCAGUUUGUAGAGAGAGCUGCUAAUUUCACAGAACUUGUGAUUUUGAAGCAGGUUCCCAGUCUCUCUUUCGAAUCCUUUAUGGAUUGUUUGAAUGCUCAUCUGAUCACGUUGUUAAUUUUCCCGAAUGCACUGUUUGUCAUUGUAAUUAUUUCACUCAGUAUCUGUAUUUUUAAUAUUAUGAAGAAGAAGCCUUCCCCAAAGCCAGACAAUACUGAGUGGCAGGGAGUGUGGAGAGGCUUGAGAGAGACUUUAGAGAAAUGGACAUGUUCAGUGUCAUGGAACUUUACUCCUGAACACCUAAAAGAUCCUGAGAGCCUAAAUAGAUAUUUGAGACAGGGAUGUUGUGGCUUAGGCAGAUCUGAGGAGGCACAAAUGAUUUGGGGCCUGGCUAAUGCUUAUCAGGCCUUAUUUAAUACUAUCCCAGAGAAGGAGAGAGUUUCUGAAAUUGAGAGGGAGAGUCUCCGUGCUGAAAGAGAAAGUCUCCAGGAGACAGUAUUAGAUGACUGUGAGGGAGAAUCUUCAGGCCCAGGAAGAGAGUCUCCUAGUUGAGAAACAGAGUCUUCAAAUCCAAAGAGAGAAUCUUCAGUCUGAGCAAGACACCCUCCAUUUCAAAAGAGACACCCUCCAUUCUGAACUAAAUACCCUCAUAAUUGAACGAGACAGACUCUGAGCUGAGCUGGAGAGUAAGAGCAUUGGGACUGACCAACCUGAUCAACCACAAGAGGCACGAGAAUCGAUGUCAGUUGCCCCUGUAAGAGAACGGAAAACAAAACGAAUCUCGACUCAGAGCAGAAGGAAGAGGAGGAGAGAGAUCCAGAGGAGCAGCUCCAAGUUCUAGGGGAACCACCCCUGAGUACAGGGGAGGGACCCUCAAUAAGAUCACGGUCACCAACGCCCAGGAGAGUAACAAGAAGUCCUGAAAGAGAAGGAGGUGAAAGAGACAUCAUUACCAUUACUGAUAGAUCUUUGAAAAUGAACGAAAUCUGUGGUCUGAGAAAAGACUUCACAUGCCACCCAAAUGAGCCUACUGUUACUUGGUUACUUCGAUGUUGGGACAGUGGGGCCAACAGUGUGCUGCUUGAUAGUAGAGAGGCUCGUCAGCUCAGUGGCAUUGCUAGGGACUCAGCCAUUGACAGAGGUAUUAGCACAUGCCAGAACCAGGCCUUCACCCUCUGGAAGCAGAUGCUGUUAGCUGUGAAAGAAAGAUACUCCUUCAAAGAUGACCUGAUGCCUGAGA
ensembl:lncRNA